GAUGAACGCUGGCGGCGUGCCUAAUACAUUCAAGUCGAGCGAACAGACGAGGAGCUUGCUCCUCUGACGUUAGCGGCGGACGGGUGAGUAACACGUGGAUAACCUACCUAUAAGACUGGGAUAACUUCGGGAAACCGGAGCUAAUACCGGAUAAUAUAUUGAACCGCAUGGUUCAAUAGUGAAAGACGGUUUUGCUGUCACUUAUAGAUGGAUCCGCGCCGCAUUAGCUAGUUGGUAAGGUAACGGCUUACCAAGGCAACGAUGCGUAGCCGACCUGAGAGGGUGAUCGGCCACACUGGAACUGAGACACGGUCCAGACUCCUACGGGAGGCAGCAGUAGGGAAUCGUCCGCAAUGGGCGAAAGCAUGACGGAGCAACGCCGCGUGAGUGAUGAAGGUCUUCGGAUCGUAAAACUCUGUUAUUAGGGAAGAACAAAUGUGUAAGUAACUAUGCACGUCUUGACGGUACCUAAUCAGAAAGCCACGGCUAACUACGUG
rnacentral:rRNA from 1 species